rnacentral:snRNA from 1 species
GUGCUCACUUUGGCAGCACGUAUACUAAAAUUGGAACGAUACAGAGAAGAUUAGCAGGGCCCCUGCGCAAGGAUGACACGCAAAUUUGUGAAGCGUUCCUUUUUUUC